rnacentral:snRNA from 1 species
UUUUUCCGUCCCUUCGAGAAUAUCGGAUAAAAUUGAAACGAUAGAGAGAAGAUUUGCAUAGCCCAUAUGCAAGGGUGGUCCAAAUUUUUGUUCUAUAAUAAACAAGGUA